CUUUUCUUCUCACCACAAUACUCGUGAAUGGCUUGACACCAGCAUCCGCCUUCGGGCGCAUAAUGGAGUCGCUGUUCAGUUUGACUUCGAGGAGCCAUCAAAUCCCCAUGAUGUCAAUUAUCUAGUCAACGGGUCUGAGAUCGAUUAAGCACCUCGCAACCUCGAUGUUUUUGAGCCCCUCGCGGGAGCUCGACGGAGAGACGGGUGUCUUAAGUCACUAUAUUCCAAAUCUUUUCGCAGAUGCCGUCGGCUUAUGAUGCUAAAGACUCACCAUGGUGAAUACAGUU
rnacentral:sRNA from 1 species